AAAAUAUCUACGGACAGGAUUGCUGAGCGAUUAAGAUGAUGACUCUGAUGAUUGCAAGGUCAAUAGUUCAAGACUCAAGCGCCACAUGAUGGAGUUCCCACCACUAGUCCCAGCUUUUGCUAACCUAGCAGUUCAAAGGUAUUUGUUGUUGGGCCUGAGCAGAUGGAGAGGAAAAAAUGGGUUGAUCCUGGGUUUCUCAUACCUGUUGGAAAUUCUGCUGGCCAUACAGCCAACUCCCAAGAGGCAGACCAGACAUAAAGAGCUUUUAAGCAGCACUGUAUGGGGAAACCUGUGAAACGGGAACCUGCCAAAAUGAAUGUGAAAAGUAAGUCAAUAUGGCUUGAGUUUGUCCACCCCACCCCCGCC